UACGUAGGUGGCAAGCGUUAUCCGGAUUUACUGGGUGUAAAGGGCGUGUAGGCGGUUUUGUAAGUCGGAUGUGAAAUUCCCAGGCUUAACCUGGGCGCUGCAUCCGAAACUACAAAACUUGAGUACUGGAGAGGAUAGUGGAAUUCCUAGUGUAGCGGUAAAAUGCGUAGAUAUUAGGAGGAACAUCAGUGGCGAAGGCGACUAUCUGGACAGUAACUGACGCUGAGGCGCGAAAGCGUGGGGAGCAAACAGG
rnacentral:rRNA from 1 species